CUUCCUCGCAUCGCACCGGCCUCUUCCUUUUUCCUCUCCCUCCUUUUCCGGAAACCCAGAGUCCUCUCCAAUUCUUCGCCGUUCUCCGGCGAGCGCGACGCCGGCGAAGAGACCAGCCUACGGGAGCAGGCUGCGGCUGCCGAGAGCCCGGCCCGACCGAUGGCGGCGCGCGGUGCCCGUGAUCGUGCUGGUACCACUCCUCGCGCCUCCUCCCUGCUCCUCUGCCUCGUCCUGCUGCUCGCGCUGUCGGCUGCGGCGGAGGCGGCGGAGGAGGCCACCCCCUCGGGGGUGUUCGAGGUGCGGCGCAAGUUCACGCGACACGGCGGCGGCGGGGAGGGCCACCUCUCGGCGCUCCGGGAGCACGACGGCCGCCGCCAUGGCCGUCUGCUCGCCGCCGUCGACCUCCCCCUCGGCGGCAGCGGCCUCGCCACCGGCACCGGGCUCUACUUCACGCGGAUUGGGAUCGGCACGCCGGCGAAGGGCUACUACGUGCAGGUGGACACCGGCAGCGACAUACUCUGGGUCAACUGCGUCUCCUGCGACGGCUGCCCGCGCAAGAGCAACCUUGGGAUUGAGCUGACGAUGUACGACCCGAGGGGGUCGGGGAGCGGGCAGCUGGUGACCUGCGACCAGGACUUCUGCGUCGAGAACUACGGCGGCGUGCUGCCUACGUGCACCACUUCAUCGCCGUGCCAGUACAGCAUCACGUACGGAGACGGGAGCUCCACGGCCGGGUUCUUCAUCACCGACUUCUUGCAGUACAACCAGGUGACCGGCGAUGGUCAAACCACGCCGGCCAAUGCGAGCGUCACAUUCGGGUGUGGUGCUAAGCUAGGCGGGGAUUUGGGGUCGUCAAACCUGGCCCUUGAUGGGAUUCUUGGAUUUGGUCAAUCGAAUUCUUCGAUGCUGUCACAGCUCGCUGCCGCGGGAAAAGUUCAGAAGAAGUUUGCUCAUUGUCUGGACACUGUAAAUGGUGGAGGGAUUUUCGCUAUCGGGAAUGUGGUUCAACCAAAAGUGAAGACAACACCGUUGGUGCCCAACAUGCCACACUACAAUGUCAACCUGAAAGGAAUUGAUGUUGGUAGUACCACACUACAACUUCCAACAGAUACUUUCGAUUCAAGUAACAGUAAAGGUACCAUCAUUGAUAGUGGGACAACAUUAGCGUAUGUCCCAGAGGUGGUUUAUACGUCUAUGAUGGCUGCGGUAUUUGAUAAGCAUAAGGACAUAUCCUUACAGAAGUCCCAAGACUUCGAUUGCUUCCAAUAUUCUGGAAGUGUAGACGAUGGAUUUCCUGUAAUUACUUUUCGUUUUGAGGGAGAUGUUUCACUGACUGUUUCGCCGCAUGAUUAUCUUUUCCAAAAUGGGGGUGUCAGUACUGUUCCAAUCUGAGUGGUGUUUUUACUCCUCUUUUGCUUUCUGGUCUUCCUACUAGCUAAGCCGAGUUCCGUAAUUUGGGUUGCUCCUGAAGGUUCUGCCAGGCCAUAUGUGGCAGUCAUUGGUUCAGUAAGCUGGAGAUCCCCGUAAACUACUCUGUUACCCCGGCAAAGCAGGACGCUUUUCUCUGAAAAACUGUGCAAAUACCAACUAUUGUUUCUACUUUAUAGAUAAAAAAUUAUAAAAUGGGACGACAUUAGUUGUUUUCUCAUAUUUGUAAGAUUGUUUACCAUCACUGUACAUGGUAAAGCAACCAAUAACACACUAAUACAACUUGUGAGUUGUGAUAGUAAAUGAUUCAUGUAAAUGUAUAACUUGUUUUAUGCAGAAAAAUUUGUAUUGUGUGGGGUUCCAAAACGGUGGGUUACAAUCCAAGGAUGCCAAAAAUAUGGUGCUUUUGGGAGAUCUGGUGCUUUCAAAUAAACUG